UAACACAAAUGAUUGCUGCUAAUAAGCCGUGUGAUUUGCUUUGUUUACAGAUGAAUAACAUAUAUAUGUAUAUAUAUAUAUAUAUAUAUAUAUACUGAUCCUGAUCACGGCCGCGCAAGGAGAUGCUCCCGAACCGGAGCGACAAAAAAAAACCGCCCAACCCCGCCCACGAUCCCCACAUCCCCGAUCUACCGCCGCCCGACCAUCCUAGCGCGCCGCCGCCCGACCUACCCAGCACACCGCAGGCCCCCGACCUACUAGUCUCGGUUCCCUGUGCGCCGCCCACCUUCUUUGCGUGCCACCGAGAUUCUGCCGCCGAACUUCCGCCAUGGCUGCGCGCGGCUCUGCGCCCUAACCGCCGUCGCCGGGGAUCACCGAACACCAUCAAACUGGCGUGCAGUCCUCGGUCGCCUGCCCACGCAGUCCCCCGCUUACUGCUGACGCGGAUCUGGUCAAGCCCGUACCCCUUCCCUCCGGCCGACUUCGCCUGAUGUGUAUGUUCAGCUACAAAAAGGAGAGCAUUAUACGUUGUUUUCUAGUCCGCUCACUUGUUGAAAUAAAAAAAGCGGCUGGAUCUUGCUGCACACAAGGAAGAAGGAACACAUGGCUGGGAUUAAAGGAUAGGCAAAGAGUUGAGCUAGCGCCCUGGUCACUGGCUUUUAUUUCUUUUCAUGUAUUCGACCCUAGCUACUACAUGUACGCUGGACUUUUCUAUUCUAUAAAAGAGAAAGCAAAUCGAUCAUAGUGAGAAGAGAGAGAGAGAGAAUAAAAAAAUGUGUAAUGGGAAAUAACUCCAUGUAUAUUUUUAAAAGUACUCCUAGAUGUUUGUCUUUAAGAAAACUGGAGCCAAAAUAUAAAUAGUCCACGUGAUAAUUUUAAACUUUGGAAUGGGUAAA